rfam:Ipomoea nil DNA, scaffold: scaffold2779, cultivar: Tokyo-kokei standard.
GGAUCGGUGACACAAUGGUAGCGCAUCUGACUCCAGAUCAGAAGGUUACGUGUUUGAUUCACGUUGGGUUCA